AGGAGGCAGGCUCUAUGGGGGCACAGUAGUGAAUCUAUGGGGCAAGGCUCUAUAGGAGGCACAGCUGAUGCAUAUGGGGCAGGCUCUAUGGGGCACACUGCUCUAUGGGGCACACUGAUCUAUGGGGCAGGCUCUAAUGGGGGCACAAUCGUGAUUCUUAUGGGGGCACACUGAUUAUGGGGCAGGCUCUCUGGGGCACACUGAUCUAUGGGGCACACUGAUCUAUGGGGCACACUGAUCUAUGGGGCAGGCUCUAUGGGGCACAGUGUGAUCUAUGGGGCACACUGAUCUAUGGGGCAGGCUCUAUGGGGCACACUGAUCUAUGGGGCACACUGAUCUAUGGGGCAGGCCUCUAUGGCAGGCUCUAUGGGCACAGUGUGUAUCUAUGGGCAGGGCUCUAUGGGGCACACUGCUCUAUGGGGCACCCACUGGAUCUAUGGGGGCAGGCGCUAUGGGGCAGGCUCUAUGGGGCACACUGAUCUAUGGGGCAGGCUCUCUGGGGCACACUGAUCUAUGGGGCACACUGAUCUAGGGGCACACUAUCUAUAUGGGGCAGGCUCUAUGGGGCACACUGAUCGAUGGGGCACACUGAUCUAUGCGGGCACACU
rnacentral:lncRNA from 1 species